rnacentral:misc_RNA from 1 species
AGCGAGAAGACGGGACAAG